GGAGUAAGUUCCUGCUGAGCAAUUCUAAAAGAAUGGUUAAGAGGAAUUUUGGGCCAGAGACUUGAAGAGGGGAGUUUUCUUAGCCUUUGAAAGCUGUCCCUUCUGACUUCUGAAUAUUUGGAAAAGAGUCCUAUAAGAAAAAUUGAAGUAAAGGAUUGGGCCCUGUGUGGCUGACAGCCUCACCAUUCUCCUCAGGCCAACUGUCUGCACCCCUCCUCUGAGCUGUUUCCAGGGAACUGACUCAUCCAAGAUGUUUUGCAAAUUCUUCUUGAUUGAUAGGUUGAAGCAGCACCCCAUCUUCUCAGCAUCUCUGUAAGGCCAGCUCUGCAUGCA
rnacentral:lncRNA from 1 species